rnacentral:misc_RNA from 1 species
GACCACAAUCAAAAUGAAUCCAAGGAGGGCAAAAAAUAUCAUAGAUCUUCUAAUCUCAAUGUACUUCUUAGCUUUAGAGUUUUCUGAGUUCAAAAUGCAUUCCCAUAUGUGGAGACGUUUAAAGACCACAGAGCACAGAAGAAGGCCAAGCAGCAGACCCUGAAUUAUGGGACUAAUCUCACUUCUGUUCAUCAUGUACUGAAAAGAAAUCAAGUCUGACGAACUAAGAGCCCCAAGCAUCUUAGCAAUAG